ensembl:rRNA 5S_rRNA 5S ribosomal RNA
GCUUAAGGCCAUACCACCCUGAGCGCGCCCGAUCUCGUCUGAUCUCGGAAGCUAAGCAGGGUCGGGCCUGGUUAGUACUUGGAUGGGAGACCGCCUGGGAAUACCAGGUGCUGUAAGCU